rnacentral:pre_miRNA from 1 species
AGUGGGAUAGCUGGGUAAAAUGGUGGUCCGAUUCCAAGUUUUCUGAGGAAUCUCCAUAUUGCUUUCCAAAGUGGUUGCACCAAUUUAUAGUCCCAGCAACAAU